UACGAAGGGGGCUAGCGUUGUUCGGAAUCACUGGGCGUAAAGGGCGCGUAGGCGGCUUGUUAAGUCAGGGGUGAAAUCCUGGAGCUCAACUCCAGAACUGCCUUUGAUACUGGCGAUCUCGAGUCCGGGAGAGGUGAGUGGAACUGCGAGUGUAGAGGUGAAAUUCGUAGAUAUUCGCAAGAACACCAGUGGCGAAGGCGGCUCACUGGCCCGGUACUGACGCUGAGGUGCGAAAGCGUGGGGAGCAAACAGG
rnacentral:rRNA from 1 species